rnacentral:lncRNA from 1 species
GGUACUCCAACCCGUGAGGAAAUUCGGUGCAUGAACCCCAACUAUACUGAGUUCAGGUUUCCUCAGAUUAAGGCUCAUCCUUGGCACAAGGUAGACAUACGUUAAGUUUUAUGUUGAAUCAACUGCAUCAUCUCGUUAUACUUGCAUGGUAUUAAGUCCACAUCUUCUUGCAUAUCAAUUUGUUACCAGCUUCUUUCUCUACACCAUCAAUAAAUUAUGAAUUAAAAAUGUGCCUGCGGCUAAUGGGUUGCUCUACUUUCCUUUCCCUAGAUUUUCCACAAGAGAAUGCCCGCUGAAGCUAUAGAUCUUGCCUCCCGCCUUCUCCAGUAUUCACCAAACCUACGUUGCACUGCUGUAAGUUUUUCCGUGCUUGGCUUUGUGAUUGCUCUUAAAGGUUGUGCUAAGUGGCUGGGUGGAUAAAUACUAAAUGAGGUGUACUAAAGUUAUUUUACCUCUUGCGUUUUUUUUGUGUGUGAUACUAGUACAUGGUUUUGUCUUUUCUAACAUUCAUAUCUGAAAUGCUGUAUUACAGUUAAUUAUUCUUUUUGUGAAAGGUAGAGGAAUAUAUGUGCAAUUAUUUAAUCAUUAACGAUAAAAGGAGGCUCUUCUGCACCUUCGUGGAAGUAGGAUUAUUUUUUGGAGUUUUUGGAAGCAUCAAUGCUUAGCUUUCAGUCACUGAUUAGCUUCUGGUCCUCGUUGGCAUUAUAAUUAUGAUAUCCUGUGGUCCAGAACUAAUGUUGAUGAGUCUUGACUGAUAGAUAGUGGGUGCAACUUUAUAGUCACAUGUGCUUGUUAACUACAGCUAGUGCUCCACCUAGAAAAGGGUCUAUGUUAAUGCUGUUACUUUAGCUUGAAAACAACGUAAUCUUUAAAAACUAGCAAUCUGUUCAGUUUAAAACGUUCUUAUAUGUUUGUUUUCCUGUGCAGCUUGAUGCAUGUGCACAUUCCUUCUUUGAUGAGCUACGUGAGCCGAAUGCACGCUUGCCGAAUGGCCGCCCAUUCCCUCCUCUGUUCAACUUCAAACCUGAAGUAAGUAAAAAGAUACACCGUUCAAGCAGCCACCAUUUAAGUUGUAGAAAAAAAGAUGACUGAUUUCAGGCACAUGAUCAGUUCAAUAAUUAGGAAGGCAACAGCAUGUCCUUGCUAGCCUGGAAAGAUCCCUCUUGGGCUCUUGAUGCACUGUGCUCAUCAAUGUUCUUUUCUGGCAAUGCAGCUAGCGAAUGCCUCUCCAGAGCUCAUCAACAGGCUUGUUCCGGAACAUGUUCGACGGCAAAAUGGCCUCAACUUCGCCCAUGCUGGGAGCUAGAUGGGCGCGCCGCAUUGCCCAUAUUUUUUGUUUGUCCGCCAUCAUCGAAGAAUCAGCUCUCCUAAAUCCUGAGGAGAGACCGAUCCAGUGCCAGUGCCAGUGCCAGUGAAAGAAGUACAACUAUGUAAAUUACCUGACCUUGGAAGAAUCGUUGUUGUUGUUGCCGGUGCCGCCCAUGUUUAAGUACAUGGCGGCACAUGUUGGUUGAGUUGUUACUUAUUAUUAGUAGGUAAGAGCAAUGAUGUAGGAGGUGGAGACAUAUGUUAAUGCUAGGUCUGUGACUUGUUUUAAGUACAUUUUUGUAAUGCUUGGUAGUGGUACUGUAAUGCGGCAGUAGCUGCUCCAUGUUUUGUCCCUUGUCCCUGAUGUAAAUGUCGUCGUCCUGCAGCAAAU